rnacentral:lncRNA from 1 species
ACACUCAGAAUGAGAUGUAGCCACCUCUGAGAGAAAAAACAGUGAGUGCGUCAUUACCGGCCGUUUAAUUGUGUGCAGCAGGGCUACACAAACAAUCAAGAUAGGAAAGGAUUAGUCAGUCCACUGCAAAACUGCAGGUGGAGGUUUUUUUAACUGGUUUAUUUAUGUCCAGGUCCACAAAAUUUGGACAUUCCUUGGCUCAUCUUAAAAAUCUGAGACAAACACAGUUCUCUAGGGACAUUCUUUGCCCGGUAUUUAUUAUUUCAUUUUCUAGCAGAUCAAAACCCACUGCAACUUUGCAUUUGCUCCCAUUAGAAUCCUCCUGACUCCUCUCAGGAAACCAGAAGCGCACUUUGUAGCUGGUCAUAAAAGUCAACAAAUAAGAGAUGUUUUGAAAAACUUUGAUGUUUGAAGAAAUGGGUCUCAACAGAACCUUCUGGUUUUUUAAACAAACAUAAAUAUUUCAUGGAUGCCUCAAGGGAGCUGAAAAUCACUACUGUUCUCUGUGGGCUGAGUUCUGUAGUUGUGUUUUGUCUCCCACCAGGCAUUUAGCCCUCCAGUCUCUGAUGUUCUCCCUCACCACAACACAUGCAGUCCCGGCCAGCUCAUGAGAGCAGGCAGUGAGAGCACCGAAAUGACAGUUCCCACGAAGAAUCACAGCAGUGUUUCAGAGCAGAACAUUUCCUGAUUUUGAUUUUUCACCCCAAAGUUGACACUGCUCACAGGGAUAGUAAUACUUCUCUAUGGAUAGACUAUGAGGAUAUUUGCUUCGUGUUUGCACAGAAGUAUACUUUGAAGGACCUAUUCGUGUAUGACUUAAAAAUUCUGACUGAUAUUGCGUCUUGGUAUGUGAAUUUUAUGAAACUACAAAGGUGGUGUUUUCCAAAUGUUUAUCUGAUCCCAAGGUUGUGUCUUUGUCUUCUCAUUUCCCUGUUGAAACACCGUGGAGCAGCCUGGAGGGACUCCAGACCAGUGAGCAGACAGAGAAGCGCUCUUGCACCUCGGUCACUAUCCAUUCGAGUGUCAGCAACUUUGGAUAAAGAGACAGCUGCUGCCUAAAACAAGCAGGUUUUCCAAAACUUCCUGAGAAGCACGUAGCCUUCAUCCAGCAAGAGGAAAGGCGAGGUUUGGGCCACACCAAUUCCCUUCCAUUCAUCCUCAUCUGUGCCACAACACCUAGCCCUGACCUGCAGCUGUCUGGGUGGUUUUGAAUGGAUGACAGUGCUGGCUUGGCCUGAAUAGAGGUAAGAAGAUGCUUUGGGGGAAAAAGGAAAACUGGAAAGCAGACACCUGCCUUUGUGACUAUUUGUUGACUGUCCUGCCAAGCUGUCCGUGGAGUGAUGGGUACAUCGUGUGGCCAGAAAGGAGAAAUGCAACUCCUACUUGCUGACCUUUUUCUUCCCUAAAGUCAUAUUUUCCAGUUCUUCUCCAAAAUCAGAAAGAAAAAAAAA